rnacentral:misc_RNA from 1 species
GAUGAAGAACGUAGCGAAAUGCGAUAAGUAAUGUGAAUUGCAGAAUUCAGUGAAUCAUCGAAUCUUUGAACGCACAUUGCGCCCGCCAGUAUUCUGGCGGGCAUGCCUGUUCGAGCGUCAUUACAACCCUCAGGCCCCCGGGCCUGGCGUUGGGGAUCGGCGGAAGCCCCCUGUGGGCACACGCCGUCCCUCAAAUACAGUGGCGGUCCCGCCGCAGCUUCCAUUGCGUAGUAGCUAACACCUCGCAACUGGAGAGCGGCGCGGCCAUGCCGUAAAACACCCAACUUCUGAAUGUUGACCUCGAAUCAGGUAGGAAUACCCGCUGAACUUAAGUAUAUCAAUAAGCGGAGGA